rnacentral:rRNA from 1 species
AGAGUUUGAUCCUGGCUCAGGACGAACGCUGGCGGCGUGCCUAAUACAUGCAAGUCGAGCGAACCACUUCGGUGGUUAGCGGCGGACGGGUGAGUAACACGUGGGCAACCUSCCUGUAAGACUGGGAUAACAUCGGGAAACCGGAGCUAAUACCGGAUAAUCCUUUUCCUCUCAUGAGGGAAAGCUGAAAGACGGUUUCGGCUGUCACUUACAGAUGGGCCCGCGGCSCAUUAGCUAGUUGGUGAGGUAACGGCUCACCAAGGSGACGAUGCGUAGCCGACCUGAGAGGGUGAUCGGCCACACUGGGACUGAGACACGGCCCAGACUCCUACGGGAGGCAGCAGUAGGGAAUCUUCCMCAAUGGACGAAAGUCUGAUGGAGCAACGCCGCGUGAGCGAUGAAGGCCUUCGGGUCGUAAAGCUCUGUUGUUAGGGAAGAACAAGUAUCGGAGUAACUGCCGGUACCUUGACGGUACCUAACCAKAARGCCACGGCUAACUACGUGCCAGCAGCCGCGGUAAUAKKGUGCG